GGGGGUGAAGCUCAGUGGUAGAGCAUCUGAUUGGAAUUCAGAAGGCCCCAGGUUCGAUCCCUGGUAUCUGUA